CCCCUCGAAACCUUGAAAGAUAGAUCCUCGCUUUACUAGUUGAUCAGCCUCGCCAUUCUUUUCUUCGUAAACAUGAAAUAAUCUUUCUUACCUGGCUCUGCUUCUGAAUUUCAUCCAUAAUCUUUUGCUAUGGAACUUUUGGUGGCUCCUUGUGUUAGCCCUAAUACAGUGGAUCUUUGUAAUUUUCAGAAGUAAAUAGAGCUAUAUCAACAAGAUGGGUUUUGAACUCAAUCAGAAAUAUCAACAAACAUAUGGCAUGCUAUUCUUAUCAAAAUACCCACAACAAGUUUUAAAGAAUCUUCAACCAAAAAUCAAUUGCAGUUAUUGAUAAACUCUUCUAAACAAUCCAAAAGAAAUUUCCUGCAAGCAUACACCUAUUAAAAAUCAUUCCAACGAUAUAAAAAAAUACCCAAUAACUAUUUUUUUUGCUCUUAUAAUACUUCCCAGCCUUCUUGUAGUAUUUCUAGAUGCAUAAGAUAAAAGAAGAAAGUUGAAACAAACUCACCAAUACCUAUUAAUUUGCGGUACAAUUUGAUAGCCUUUUAGAGAGAGAAAGUGGCUGAAAAUGAGUUUUCCAACGAGAUAUAACCCAAGAUGAAACACAACUUUCCUGUAAACCGUUGUUAGUAAUAAUAUAUAUACAGAGAGAGAGAGCGCUCCUUCGAGAUGUAACAUGAUGCUUGGGUUGAUCUUGUGAUUCUGGAGGGCUCUCACAGAGAUGAGAGGUACGUCCUUGUACCUAGCUCACCAGGACGCAUAAGAGAAAGAAAGAAAUUUUAGGGAGAGAAGGAGAGCUCGUGCAUGAUGUCCAGUCUCUCAAAACCCUUUCCAUGAAUAUAGCUACAAAAGGGAAAAUAGAGAGAGACACAUGUAGAGAAAGAAAUGAAAAGUGUUGCCUCUCAGUGGCCACUUGUCCCUCUCUUCACAUGAAUAUUUCUUAUUCUCUACACAAAGCACUAAUUUAUUUUGA
rnacentral:lncRNA from 1 species